UGUAUGUUCUUGUCUCUUGACAGGUCUGUGAGGAUGAGAAGGUCUCCACAGUCUGGAGUCUGGUCUCUGACAGGCUCAACAUACCUGUCAAUCAACAGGGACUCCUCUACAAAGGCAAGGCGCUGGCAGGUAGGCUGAACAGCACAGCACAGCACAGCUCACCCCUCCUCUCACCCCUCGCCUCACCCCUCCUCUCACUCCUCGCCUCACCCCGGGUCAGUGUGGCACAGCCUGCCUGCUCUUCUGAACAAACACUUCAGCCCUGCCGACGCAAUGAGAGUCUGGAGCAGCAACACGAGGUAACCUGAACACAAACACACACACUGCUAUACACACACACACACAGACACACACAAACACACACACAGUGAGAGGCUGGAGCAGCUACACAAGGUAAAUUGAACACAAUAAACACGGCUACACACACAAUCCUAGCUGCAGUAGAUGUACAAUGUUAUACAGACACACACAGACACAGCUGUACAGUGACACAGAGACGCACACACAAUCACAGCUGUAGCAUACACACUCUGAAAUGCAGGUGUAGAGCAGCGUGUAGUUGUGACUCUGUGUCUCUCUCCUCCCCCUCUCCUCUCCUCUCCUUACUUUGUUUAAAAGAAUAGAAGCACACCCAGUGAGCAAGGCAUUGAGCAGCCCCACAUCCCGCUUCACAAUACCGCUACAUAUUGACUGACUGUUCGCAUUGUGUGUGUUUGGUAAGACAAACCACAUUUUCUACUUCUACUUUCUACGAUUGGGCAAGUCAGCGGUUGUUUGAUAACAGAACAUAAAACAUCACAGAGUGGGUUGAACUGCAUUGCUGCAAAUCAAGGUCCUUUAAAAUGUGUACCUUCCCAGCUCAGGUAUUGCUGAGGUAAAGAGACACUUCCUACAGGAGGACAGGACGUUGUCAAGGAGGGGAUGUCGUCACGUGUCCUGAGGGCUUUCUUAAAAACAUUGUUUUAUUAUUUCUAAGCGUACGUUGUUACUGCCUUUUAGCUCUUGAGCAUAAUAAUCUCAAUCCCGUUUGAAAUGACACUAAGUGCAUUUGCAUGGUGGCAGAUGAGGGAUGUCGCUUCACUCGAGGCGUGCGUACUGAUGAAGAUGUAGUUUCAGUGUUUAAUGCUCAUCCCCUCACUGUGUGUGUGUGUGUGUGUGUGUGUGUGUCUGUGUGUGUUCUUGUCUCUCGCCUGUCCUGUGAGGAUGAAGAUGUAGUUUCAGUGUUUAAUGCUCAUCCCCUCACUGUGUGUUUGUGUGUUCUUGUCUCGACAGGUCUGUGAGGAUGAGAAGGUCUCCACAGUCUGGAGUCUGGUCUCUGACAGGCUCAACAUACCUGUCAAUCAACAGGGACUCCUCUACAAAGGCAAGGCGCUGGCAGAUGAGCACAGACUGUCACACGACUCCAUCGCUCCCGAUUCCAAGCUGAACUCGUUGUGACGCCCCCAACAGAGAAAGUGUCACCCUCGCAAGAACAGCACUCCCUGUGUCACCCCUCCUCUCAGACCUCACCCCUCACCCUCGCCUCACCCCUCCUGUCACACCUCACCCCUCGCCACACCCCUCCUCUCACACCUCACCCCUCCUCUCACCCAUCGCCUCAACCCUCCUGUCACCCCUCGCCCCUCCUCUCACCCCUCGCCUAACCCCUCCUCUCACGCCUCGCCUCACCCCGGGUCAGUGUGGCACAGCCUGCCUGCUCUUCUGAACAAACACUUCAGCCCUGCCGACGCAGUGAGAGUCUGGAGCAGCAACACAAGGAUUACGAGCGGAGGCUGCGCUUGUUGAGCCUGGAUGAUAUGGAGCGGCUGGCGACUCGCAUGCUUCACCCUGAGGCUGUGGAGUGCAUGGAGCUGUCCUUCCUGGACUGAGGAAUACUGCUGCUGCCCUCUCCACCUCUCCCUUCUCUUCUCCCCUCUCCCCUCUCUCCUCUCCUCUUUACUCUCUCCUCCCCCUCUCCUCUCCUCUCCUUACUUUGUUUAAAAGAAUAGAAGCACACCCAGUGAGCAAGGCAUUGAGCAGCCCCACAUCCCGCUUCACAAUACCGCUACAUAUUGACUGACUGUUUGCAUUGUGUGUGUUUGGUGAGACAAACCACAUUUUCUACUUUCUGCUAUUUUAAAAGGAGCCCAGUUUGGUGCAGGAGGCUUGUGGGUAACAGAGUGUGUUUUUGCUGGGGACUGCAGCCCUUCCAUUACCAUUGCUCGUAGAGGGGAGAUUGUUUUACUUUCAAGCCUUUUUCUUUAAUAAAUCCGGACGUUUGGAAAUACA